rnacentral:misc_RNA from 1 species
CCGAAUGGCCCUCGGGCCGUCGACCCUUCAAACCCGUGGAAGACAGAAGAUUGUGCUUCGGCGCCCCGGCGUCGUGUUUAUGCAGUGCCCAGUCCGUCGUCUGAACUUGAAACAAAAGAUUA